rnacentral:rRNA from 1 species
UUGAACGCUGGCGGCAUGCUUUACACAUGCAAGUCGAACGGUAACAGGCCUUCGGGUGCUGACGAGUGGCGAACGGGUGAGUAAUGCAUCGGAACGUACCCAGAGGUGGGGGAUAACGCAGCGAAAGCUGUGCUAAUACCGCAUGUGAUCUGAGGAUGAAAGCGGGGGACCGAGCAGCAAUGUUUGGCCUCGCGCCUUUGGAGCGGCCGAUGUCGGAUUGGCUAGUUGGUGGGGUAAAGGCCUACCAAGGCGACGAUCCGUAGCUGGUCUGAGAGGACGACCAGCCACACUGGGACUGAGACACGGCCCAGACUCCUACGGGAGGCAGCAGUGGGGAAUUUUGGACAAUGGGCGCAAGCCUGAUCCAGCAAUGCCGCGUGCGGGAAGAAGGCCUUCGGGUUGUAAACCGCUUUUGGCAGGAACGAAACGGUGUCCGCUAAUACCGGGCGCUAAUGACGGUACCUGCAGAAUAAGCACCGGCUAACUACGUG